rnacentral:rRNA from 1 species
UACGUAGGGUGCAAGCGUUGUCCGGAAUUAUUGGGCGUAAAGAGCUCGUAGGCGGUUUGUUGCGUCGGCUGUGAAAACCCGCGGCUUAACUGCGGGCUUGCAGUUGAUACGGGCAGGCUAGAGUUCGGUAGGGGAGACUGGAAUUCCUGGUGUAGCGGUGAAAUGCGCAGAUAUCAGGAGGAACACCGGUGGCGAAGGCGGGUCUCUGGGCCGAUACUGACGCUGAGGAGCGAAAGCGUGGGGAGCGAACAGG